AGGCAGUGUAUCAAUAGCUGGCUGUGAACUACAAAACAGCAGCUAUGUGCACUUCCACA
rnacentral:pre_miRNA from 1 species